rnacentral:tRNA from 6 species
CGAAGUGUGGCUCAGUUUGGUAGAGCGCUGCGUUCGGGACGCAGAGGUCGCAGGUUCAAAUCCUGUCACUUCGA